UUUGUAUUGUGAUGAAGAUGCCAUGAUAUGUGAAGGUUUUGUGAAGAUUUUGUGAAGAUAUAUGUGAAGAUAUUUUGAAGAUAUAUGUGAAGAUAUUGUGAAUACCUUUGUGAAAAUGUGUGUGAAUAUUUAUACUACCACCAAGUCUGCAACCAAGCCCACACAUCUUUGCAUGCAUGUCUUCAACCAAGCCUUCCCCAAGAGUAACGCAUGCAAAACUUGGACACGUGUAACGCAUGCAAAAAUUUGGGUAGGAGGAAGGCAUGCAAAGUUGGCUGAGAAUCUUGCAGGCUAGGUGGAGCUGCAUGCAUGUCUUCACAUAAGACACGUCUACUGCAUGCAUCAGUCUUGUCUUCUCUGAGAAUCUUGCAGGCUAGGUGGAGCUGCAUGCAUGUAAUAAUUUUGACACGUCUACUGCAUGCAUCAGUAGGUCAACAAUAGUUGUAAUACUCAUAUUUUCGGAUAA
rnacentral:lncRNA from 1 species